AUGGUCGCUGGUAACUUGGAAAUGUUGAUGCGAGGUGUGAAGGUUUUACAUAUCACGUCUAGUGGCCCUAAUCUUGAUGCAGUUCUUGGCUUCCUCAGAGUCUUUCCUUACUUGGAGAAGCUAUACAUAAUGUCAUCUCUGCAGACGGAUAUGCAAAAUGUGCAUCAUCAUGAGCCAACAGCUCUGAUUGAGUCUCUUGACCAUAUCAGAUAUGUAGAGUUGAAGUGUUACACGGGCACGGAGCCGGAUGUUGACUUUGCUAAGUUCUUUGUUCUCAAUGCUAAGGCGCUCGAGUUGAUGAAAUUUGUUGUCAAAGGCAGAUGCACUCAGAAAUGGAGAACUGAUCAAUACAAGUGCCUACAGUUUGAUAGUAGGGCUUCUCCAAAUGCUCUAUUGGAUUUUAGAUCUUACUCUGGUCAUGCAUAUCCUGCUGGAUGUAUCCGCAGGGGCAAUCACCAUAAUGAGCAUGUCCUGUCCAUGGUUAAUCCCUUCGAUAGCUCUUCUUGUAGUCACUGCAGAGAUGCCUGA
rnacentral:rRNA from 1 species